rnacentral:rRNA from 1 species
AGGGUGAUGCCUGCCCAAUGGUUGUAUCUAAAAGCGGUUGAUAAAAGUCGACCUUGUAAGGACAAUUGAAUGGCCGCGGUAACACUGACCGUGAUAAUGUAGCGUAAUCAAUAGCCAAUUAAUUGUUGGCCAGUAUGAAUGGCGCCACGAAGGCCCCACUGUCUUAAGGAAAUUCCCAGUGAAAUUGAAUUCGUAGUGAAGAUGCUACGUCCAAUUUGUUAGACGAAAAGACCCCGUUGAGCUUUACUGGAGCACUUAUAUGGCCCCGGCCUUCCCAUGCCUGGGAACCGGCCGAAUUUAAAUGGGCGGCUUAGAUUAUGUGGCAGCCCCCCGCUGGGGCAAAUGAAACACCACUCCCCCAUGUCAAAGGGGCUAACCCCCCCCUUGGGGGGGACAGUGUAAGUAGGACAGUUUGGUUGGGGCGACCGCCUUUUAAAAAGUAACGAAGGUGCGCUUAAGGUGUGCAAUUAAUGACUGAAGCCUGACUGCGAGGGGGGUACCCCGAGCAGACACCCCUAAGCCCGCCCGAAGGG